AUGAAAAAGAGCCCUGGUAGCUUUGCAUUUAACAGUAUCUUCAAACUAUUUUGUUCACAGAAUUACCUCAUCCAAGUAAAUUUGAUUCAGAUGAAAGAAACAGAAAAGAAGCUGGGCGAUUCUUGCUGCAGUUGGAGCAGAUGUCCCAGAACUCAGCUUCUUCCAUGGCUGCAGCUCUGCAAAACGGCCUCUCAAUUAAUUCUACUGAAUGCUGGGGCUCCAAAGAACAAAUCUGGAAUUGUAUAUAAGAAAACUCAAGAUCAGUCUCAUUCUAUCAGAUGUGGAGCUAGAACUGUCAAAGAAAAAUGUACCAGCUAUAGUCAAGUCACCAAGGUAAUAAGGGAGGGAAAUUGUUCUGAACUCCCCUGAUUAAAAAAAAAAAAUCUAGAAGUUUUUUAAGCACUGGAGGGAUCUAGUAGAAAAGUGCUGGGGGACAUUAGUGGAGAGGUUGGUCAAGGUGAUGAGGCCAACUGUACUCACUAACUGGCACUUUUUGGAGUUAGAAUUCUAACUCUCCACAAAGACUAGGAGAAAGCUUCAGGUGAUUAUAUUUUGAAGAACUAUCUCUGAUCCUUUUAAGAAAGUCCUAGCUUGUAAAAUUGGCAAGAGACUGGGAGAAGAUUGAUACAUAUUUUAGGCAGUUUGCAAUUUCAAAUGUUUUUUUAAAGAAACGGUAUAAAAAAGAAAGGUUGGAAAUGAGAGUCAAAAAGAUAUCUGUCAAAAGUUUAAGGAUGCUGCAGGAAAUUUUAAAGCUAACCUGAUGAUGACUUAACAUGAGCUGUCUACACCCUGAAAACUCUGAAAAAUCAUUAUUAAUUGGAGAAAUCUUAAACACCAAAAAGAACCACUUCAUUUUAAACAUUUUCCUCAUAGCUGUACAUCAUGAAUGAUCAGUUUCAAACUGUCAAGAACACAAAAAUGAGAUGUAGAUGUUAGAGGAAAAUCAAUAGAGCUGAAAUACUCAAGAUCAAGAACGUGAGGACACUUCACAAAGUUUGUAGGAACAGAGGUAAAAGACAAGCUUGACUUUUUUUCUUUCUUUUUGUCAUUUUUUAAUUUAAGGUAUACAAGUAUUGUAUAUUUCAUAUACACAAAUUUAGGAACAUAGUUAUUUUUUCCCAACCUACCCUCCCUCCAUCUGCACUCCCACCCUUCUUCCUCCUCCAUCUCCCAUUCUCAUUACUAUUUUUUAGAAAUAUCUUUUUUCAGUUAACUUUUUUUGUAAGAUUAAGCCUAUACUAAGUACAGAGUUCCACAAAUA
rnacentral:lncRNA from 1 species